rnacentral:rRNA from 1 species
ACGCUCGACACCUACGGGAGGAGCAGUAGGGAAUCUUCCACAAUGGACGCAAGUCUGAUGGAGCAACGCCGCGUGAGUGAAGAAGGUCUUCGGAUCGUAAAACUCUGUUGUUAGAGAAGAACACGAGUGAGAGUAACUGUUCAUUCGAUGACGGUAUCUAACCAGCAAGUCACGGCUAACUACGUGCCAGUAGCCGCGGUAAUCUGAGCGGGCUGGCAAGGC